rnacentral:lncRNA from 1 species
UCCUGAGUGUUUGGAAGGAAUCAUCUAACAGUUGAAGCCCUAAUGAAUAAUCUAUCUGGGCCUUUUCGGAGCACCCUUAGGGUAUCAUUUGAGUGAGAUGAUUCUUAAAAUCUUACUAAUUAUUUGUACUUUUCUCCUUAGGAGAAAACCAUGUGUCUGUACUUCUGGGGACAAUCCAUCUUAAUGAGAUGACCUCUUCCCUCCAAAUUCCAGCAGGAGAUGUGCAUUGUCAUGGUUCUACCUCCUUCAUAGUGUGGUGACUUGAGUUCACCACUCUCUCGUAUCCUGUGUAAAUAGCUACUGUGUUCUCUAAAGCAUAGUGUAGAGAAGCCGGCUUCUAGCUAUUAGGCUUCCAAGCCAAGGGUUUUAUCCUUCAUCCUU